GACGAACGCUGGCGGCGUGCCUAACACAUGCAAGUCGAACGGGGUCCAAGGAGUGCUUGCACUCCUGAAGACCUAGUGGCGAACGGGUGAGUAACACGUGAGAAACCUGCCCCAGACUCUGGGAUAACCCAAGGAAACUUGAGCUAAUACCGGAUAUUCUCCUUUGGUCGCAUGGCCAGUUGAGGAAAGUUUUUCGGUCUGGGAGGGUCUCGCGGCCUAUCAGCUAGUUGGCGGGGUAACGGCCCACCAAGGCUACGACGGGUAGCUGGUUUGAGAGAACGAUCAGCCACACUGGAACUGAGACACGGUCCAGACUCCUACGGGAGGCAGCAGUGGGGAAUCUUGCGCAAUGGGCGAAAGCCUGACGCAGCAACGCCGCGUGCGGGAUGAAGGCCUUCGGGUUGUAAACCGCUUUCAGCAGGGACGAAAAUGACGGUACCUGCAGAAGAAGCUCCGGCUAACUACGUG
rnacentral:rRNA from 1 species